GUCCCUGUAGCGCAAUUAAUAGCGAGUUGGAUUUCUAAUCCAAAGGUCGAGCAUUCGAAUAUCACCUGGGAUG